rnacentral:lncRNA from 1 species
GUUUCUCUCAUCUCUUCUCAGAGAGAAAUAAAAUGUCUUGUCUGUGGCUCUCACCAGUUAGGUAUGUGCUGAACAGAGGAAGGGAAGAGUGUUGAAUAAAAUAGUGAGGUCACACCAAAAAGAAGCAAGAGUGGCAUAAAAAUGGGAUAAAAUCAAUAAGGGAGGAGAAGGGAAGGAAAGCUGACAAUUAGGCCCAUCAACUAUGUCUUUCCUGAUUCUCCUUAGGAAGUUGAAGCAAGAAUUUGGUGCAGGAAGCAACUUUACCCUUGAAAUCUUAUAGAUCAUACAGCAGAUAAACAGAUUCCAAAUUUGCAUAUAAUCUGUUUACUUCUGAAACCGCCUGGUCUCAAGUGAAUAAUGUAGACUCGUUUUCUCAGAAUGAGAGUGUACGAGGAGACACGGUCCUGGUCUCCAGCAGCACAGCUUUUGAGGCAAUACAUGGGGUGUGUAUUAAUCCCAUGUAAUACUGUCUCAGAAACNNNNNNNNNNNNNNNNNNNNNNNNNNNNNNNNNNNNNNNNNNNNNNNNNNNNNNNNNNNNNNAGCCUUUGUUCAAUGGUUCAGAAUUUGAGAACCAGGCAGAAAAAUGUUUAAGUAAAUUUGACCAUUCACGUUUUGGACCAUGUCAUUACACUCACCACCACCUGAACUGGAUUUAUCAUUUACAGUAUAUCCAAAAAAGCUUCAGCAAGAUGCAUUUAAGCAGACAACUUAAAAAUUACAACAUUUCUCGAUCAAUCUUUAUUAAGAUAACAUUAAAAUAGUUUACAAUUGCACAAGUAAUAAAUAUACUUAAAUGAAAAAAAGAAAAAAGGUAUUUAGUGACUAUUACUAAAAUACAUUAAUUAUUUCAAUAAUUCUACUGAACUUAGCAAACUUUUAACCCGAGCAGAGAAAAAUGAUCCAUUUAUGACAAAAAAAUAUUUACCACAAAUAAUUGAAAACAUUCAUGUUAACAAAAGACAUCUGGUGUUUGGAACCACAUAGUCAGGACAUGCAAACAGGACUCAGGCAGGAGCAAAGGAGAGAGCGAAGGGCUGUGGAUCCAAGACUGGAAAGCAUAGCAGAAGAGCCGGUUAGGAAAGGAAGCUGUGCGGGAAAAGGAAGAAGUAUGCAGAUGGAGCCUGUCAGCUCACCUGGGACCCUAUCCUUUUCUUCGUUGAGAGCUAAGAAACAGAAAACUACUAUAGCAGAAUGCUUUAACCUUGUGGUUAUUUUUCAUAAUUUAACGAUCUUCAAAAAAAAAAAAAAAAAAAACCAAAACACUACUUAG